GUGAAGGUCAUUGAGCCAGUUCUGCAGCUGCUGCCCACCGAACCUCAAGGCGAACCUUCAGCCGUCAUUCUGCCGCUCGAUGCUGGUGAACCGAACAGCGCUUGCUGCGAUGUUCAGUUCGUGUCUGCAGACUCCUCAUCCUCCCAGUCUGAGCCAGUGGCUCGAAACCAUAGAGACGCACCACUCGACUCACAAAGUAAACUUUUCCUUUAUGAAAAGAAGAAUAUUGAACGAAUAAAUAUUUAAGUGAUGAAAAUUGACAUUUUUGAUUUGACAUUCUGUGUUCUUCUUCUGUAUUAGAAGAACACAAUUGUGAAAUGUGGUCAUAGAUCAUGAAUUUCGUCUAAUUGACAUUUGCAGGGAUUCCCUUAUUAUACCAGCUACAAGGAGAGUUUCACUGGCAUUCAGCUAAGUGAUUGUUUAUUGUGGCAUCAAAAAUGUUGCUAAUUGCAGUGACUAAUUGUGUUUGUGUGUUUUAUAUUCAUUUUCAUUUGCUGCCCAACGAACAACAAGGAGACCCAUGACCUGUUUUUCUGCCACUCGAUGCUGGUGAGCUGAUCAGCGCUUUCCAAAACAUUCAGUUCCUCUCUGCAGACACCUCCAUCUCCCAGUCUGAGUCAGUGAACAUCAGGACAUACCUCUUGUGGAUGAUAAGGGGCCCACAGAGUCGUCUUUGCUGGUUUACAACCACAAAGACACAAUCCAUCAAUCACAUGGUAAUCGCAGACCUAAGUACUGACCUUGAUCUUGAGUUUCAGUUAUUUGUCAUUUUGAUAAUUGCAGUGAUUAAAUGUGUUCAUUUUAAAUUGUUCUUUUCAGGUUGAAUCUGCACAAGUUAUAGAAUUUAUUUAUCAAUAUAUAUUAUAUUAUUUAAUCACGUUGGAUGUAACACAAAGCCAGAACUCAAGUUCAACAGCAGUUCUUACAAGAAGCUCUUAGCUGAAAGCCUUACAAUACAGUAUACAGUGACUAGGGUGUGGUUGAAAUGAAAAAUAAUGAGACAAUCAUAGUAAUGGAAAUAAUAGGAUAAGACUUUGAAACCUCCGUCUCUUAGUGCCAAGUUGUUCCCCACCCCUUCUACAUGUAUCAUGCUGACAAGAGAAAGGGACAGUCUACUGAUCAUGAUUCUUGAGUCAGCAGUAAACACAAGUCAGUUUCAUAGGAAGUCCCUUUCUGUUCGCAUUUUUACUUUCUGUGUAAUACUUUAUUAUCUGUGUAAUACUCUGUAAUCUGUGCAGAUUGAUUAGUUUGCAUGUAAGGCUAAGGAGGAGACUUCAUUGUACAUGGCAGUCCAUGGCAACUUUCAGGAUCCUAGAGAUCUCUUAACACUAAUCAUUUCUCUGUCCUUGCAGGCUGCUUUAUUCCAUGUUUUUUAAUUCAUCCAUGUCCUUAAUUUUCUAUCCUUUUGAAUAAUGAACCAGAAUUUUAUUUUACUUACUUUAUUUUAAAAUGUU